rnacentral:siRNA from 1 species
AUACAUCAACUUUGUAUGCGACCG